rnacentral:lncRNA from 1 species
GGCAUGGACACUGUUAGCAAUAACAAUCUGAUGUGUUGCGGCCAAUCCUCUCAUCGCUUGAUCGCCGGAGACGAGUGCCUGCAAAAGAAGUCCGCACUGACCGGAAGUGACUCCGACGGAGACCCUCUGACGGUCAAGUCAGAGAGGAGACUAGGCAACAGUAGAAAAGAAUCAAAAGAAAAGAAUCAAAGAGCUCAGCAAUAGAGAGAGAGAACUAGGAAGGAAGGGUUCAGGGGUUUCGAAAGGA